rnacentral:rRNA from 1 species
UGGGGAAUUUUGGACAAUGGGCGAAAGCCUGAUCCAGCAAUGCCGCGUGUGUGAAGAAGGCCUUCGGGUUGUAAAGCACUUUUGCCCGGAAAGAAAUCCUUGGCUCUAAUACAGUCGGGGGAUGACGGUACCGGAAGAAUAAGCACCGGCUAACUACGUGCCAGCAGCCGCGGUAAUACGUAGGGUGCAAGCGUUAAUCGGAAUUACUGGGCGUAAAGCGUGCGCAGGCGGUUUGCUAAGACCGAUGUGAAAUCCCCGGGCUCAACCUGGGAACUGCAUUGGUGACUGGCAGGCUAGAGUAUGGCAGAGGGGGGUAGAAUUCCACGUGUAGCAGUGAAAUGCGUAGAGAUGUGGAGGAAUACCGAUGGCGAAGGCAGCCCCCUGGGCCAAUACUGACGCUCAUGCACGAAAGCGUGGGGAGCAAACAGGAUUAGAUACCCUGGUAGUCCACGCCCUAAACGAUGUCAACUAGUUGUUGGGGAUUCAUUUCCUUAGUAACGUAGCUAACGCGUGAAGUUGACCGCCU